UUUAUCAGGAGUGAGCCUAGUGUGCACUACCCCUUUCGCAAUUCUUCUGACAGCCUGUUGCUUUACCGCACAUCACAAGAUUAACAGUCCCUAGGACUUGACCUUACCAACGUGAUCAUACCUCAGGAACUAAAACUCAGAUCAAGAGGAAAUUGUUUUUAAUAAGUAACCAUGAAGACAAAUGUAGCAAGAAAUGCUAAGCAAAAGAUAAUCCACUGUAGGCAAAGACCAAAAGAAAAGUGGUUUCUCACAACUGCAAGAUCGACAGUUUAACUUGCAGUUUUUUCCCCCUCUGUAAACUGGCAUUUGCUAAGCAAGUUUAGGAAGAAAUUCCACAUAUUCAGUCAUGUUCUUCAAACUCCAUUUCUCAUGAUAAACCACUGGCUCAGGGUGCUUGCUCUAAAUUUUCUGUUCCAUCAAACAAAUGUGGGAUUUCUUUUGAUUCAAGAACAUUAACAUGCAACAUCUGUUACUUUUUACUUUUAGUGACCUCUACCAUCACCCAAUUCAUUAAUAAUCCAAGUGAUAAAUGAUAAGAAUGGAUAGCUAUGUUUGAAGGUGAUUUUUUUUAAGAAAAAUGAAUACAUGCAGACACUAGAUACAAUUACUGUGCCCUUCCAGAACACUGGAUUUAUGUUCCCAUUCAGAUUUUAUUUGUAAUCUCCCUACCCCCC
rnacentral:lncRNA from 1 species